CCUACGGGUGGCUGCAGUGAGGAAUAUUGGUCAAUGGGCUUAAGCCUGAACCAGCCAAGUCGCGUGAGGGAAGACUGCCCUAUGGGUUGUAAACCUCUUUUGUCAGGGAGAAAAGCCGGCUACGUGUAGCCGGACGGAGAGUACCUGAAGAAAAAGCAUCGGCUAACUCCGUGCCAGCAGCCGCGGUAAUACGGAGGAUGCGAGCGUUAUCCGGAUUUAUUGGGUUUAAAGGGUGCGCAGGCGGAGGUGCAAGUCAGCGGUCAAAUUGCGGGGCUCAACCCCGUACUGCCGUUGAAACUGCAUGCCUUGAGUGCGCGAGAAGUAUGCGGAAUGCGUGGUGUAGCGGUGAAAUGCAUAGAUAUCACGCAGAACUCCGAUUGCGAAGGCAGCAUACCGGCGCGCAACUGACGCUCAUGCACGAAAGCGUGGGUAUCGAACAGGAUUAGAUACCCCAGUAGUC
rnacentral:rRNA from 1 species